CUUAAAGGAAUUGACGGGAACCCGCACAAGCGGUGGAGUAUGUUGUUUAAUUCGAAGAUACACGAAGAACCUUACCAGGUCUUGACAUACCAUUGACAGGCGCAGAGAUGUGCUCUCCUUCGGGCAAUGGAUACAGGUGGUGCAUGGUUGUCGUCAGCUCGUGCCGUGAGGUGUUGGGUUAAGUCCCGCAACGAGCGCAACCCUCAUUGUUAGUUACUACCAUUCAGUUGAGGACUCUAGUGAGACUGCCAACGAUAAGUUGGAGGAAGGUGGGGAUGACGUCAAAUCAUCAUGCCCUUUAUGACCUGGGCUACAAACGUACUACAAUGGCCAAUACAAAGAGAUGCGAAGCGGUGACGUGGAGCGAACCUCAGAAAGUUGGUCUCAGUUCAGAUUGAAGUCUGCAACUCGACUUCAUGAAGGCGGAAUCGCUAGUAAUCGCGGGUCAGCAGACCGCGGUGAAUACGUUCCCGGGUUUU
rnacentral:rRNA from 1 species